UUUCCGUAGGUGAACCUGCGGAAGGAUCAUUAUUGUAUAACCGAGGUGCGAGGGCUGUCGCUGUCCCGAAAGGUCGUGCACGCCCGAGUGCCCUCACACACAUCCAUCUCACCCCUAUGUGCACCACCGCGUGGGUCCCCCUUUGGCUUGUUCGGAGGGGGGCUUACGUUUUCACACAAACUUUGUAUGCAGUGUAGAAUGUAUUUUUUGUUUUUGCGAUCACGCAAUCAAUACAACUUUCAACAACGGAUCUCUUGGCUCUC
rnacentral:misc_RNA from 1 species